rnacentral:rRNA from 1 species
CAGCAGCCACGGGAAUACGAAGGGGGCUAGCGUUGUUCGGAUUUACUGGGCGUAAAGCGCACGUAGGCGGACUUUUAAGUCAGGGGUGAAAUCCCGGGGCUCAACCCCGGAACUGCCUUUGAUACUGGAAGUCUUGAGUAUGGUAGAGGUGAGUGGAAUUCCGAGUGUAGAGGUGAAAUUCGUAGAUAUUCGGAGGAACACCAGUGGCGAAGGCGGCUCACUGGACCAUUACUGACGCUGAGGUGCGAAAGCGUGGGGAGCAAACAGGAUUAGAUACCCGAGUAGUCCCUGUCUCUUAUAC